AUACGAGACUGUUCUCUUUGAGGCCGGUCAUCGGAAUGGGUACAAUUUAAACCCUUUAACGAGUAUCAAGCAGAGGGCAAGUCUGGUGCCAGCAGCCGCGGUAAUUCCAGCUCUGCAAAUACAUAGAAUUAUUGCUGCGGUUAAAAAGCUCAUAGUUGGAUUCGUAUCGAUACCUUGGAACCCUUCGGGUGUCUCUGGGUGUUAUCGAUUUAUCGUAAUGUUCGGUUUUGAGUCCUUAACAGGAUUCUUAACAGGCAUUGCAAGUUUACUUUGAACAAAUCAGAGUGCUUCAAACAGGCGUUUUCGCUUGAAUGAUCGUGCAUGGAAUAAUAGAAAAUGAUUUCGGUUCAGUUUUAUUGGUUUUACGGACUGAGAUAAUGGUUAACAGAGACAAACGGGGGCAUUUGUAUGGUCCCGUGAGAGGUGAAAUUCUUGGACCGUGGCCAGACAAACUACAGCGAAAGCAUUUGCCAAGAAUGUUUUUAUUAAUCAAGAACGAAAGUCAGAGGUUCGAAGGCGAUCAGAUACCGCCCUAGUUCUGACCGUAAACGAUGCCAACUAGCGAUCCGCCGAUGGAAAUUAUAUUGCCUUGGUGGGGAGCUUCCCGGAAACGAAAGUCUUCCGGUUCCGGGGGAAGUAUGGUUGCAAAGCUGAAACUUAAAGGAAUUGACGGAAGGGCACCACCAGGAGUGGAGCCUGCG
rnacentral:rRNA from 2 species